CUCCAAGUUAAUUGAACAGGGCAAGAGAAUCCACACUUACUCCAGCAAGUAAACAACUCAGUCGAAUGGUACAUGAGAUCAAAGAUCAUGUGGUCCUGGACCCAGAAACUACCAAUGCUUACCUCCAAGAAGCAGAAGGGACCUCAUUCAAGUGAAUCAUCACUGAAUGAUUCUGAAGUAGCCAAAGACCUGAGUGGCAAGGGCUUAAAGCAGGGGCUCCAAUUUCCAGGCCGUGGACUGGUAGGGGUCUGUGGCCAGUUUGGAACCAGACCAUACAGCAGCAGGUGAGCAUUACUGCCUGAGCUUCACCUCCUGUCAGAUCAGCUGCGGCAUGAGAUUCUCACAGGAGCACGAAUUCUAUUGUGACCUGCCUGAUGGUCUGAGGUGGAACAGUUUCAUCCCAAAACUAUCCCCUAUGGUUUGGCUCUGUGUCCCCUCCCAAAUAUCAUCUCAAAUUGUAAUCCCCACAUGUUGAGGGAGGGACCUUGUGGGAGGUGACUGGAUGAUGGGGGUGGUUUCCCCCAAACUGUUCUCUUGACAGUAAAUGAAUUCUGAU
ensembl:lncRNA